rfam:Ornithorhynchus anatinus Cont7016.3, whole genome shotgun sequence.
CUGCAUUCUUAAACCCUCUUGGUAGCGUCGCCAGAAGCUGCCAAGAUACGAGUGAAUGCGACAGGAAACUGCAGAUCAAUCCAGAAUGCCGGGCUUGGCUUCUGUGGCCUGGCAUUCUUUCACUAAUCUGAAACAGCU